CAGAAAAUAGUUUAAUUAGAAUAAUAACUUUGGGUGUUAAAGGAUUAUUUUUCUGA
rnacentral:tRNA from 1 species